GUGGGGAAUAUUGGACAAUGGGCGAAAGCCUGAUCCAGCCAUGCCGCGUGUGUGAAGAAGGUCUUCGGAUUGUAAAGCACUUUAAGUUGGGAGGAAGGGCAGUAAGUUAAUACCUUGCUGUUUUGACGUUACCUACAGAAUAAGCCCUGGCUAACUUCGUGCCAGCAGCCGCGGUAAUACGAAGGGUGCAAGCGUUAAUCGGAAUUACUGGUCGUAAAGCGCGCGUAGGUGGUUUUGUAAGUUGGAGGUGAAAUCCCCGGGCUCAACCUGGGAACUGCCUCCAAAACUGCAUGACUAGAGUACGGUAGAGGGUAGUGGAAUUUCCUGUGUAGCGGUGAAAUGCGUAGAUAUAGGAAGGAACACCAGUGGCGAAGGCGACUACCUGGACUGAUACUGACACUGAGGUGCGAAAGCGUGGGGAGCAAACAGGAUUAGAUACCCUAGUAGUCC
rnacentral:rRNA from 1 species